GUAUGCCCAUGUCCUCUUUCAGCCACGACUCUGAGAAUCAUAGGAUAUUACAGUUGUUCAGGUCCUCUUGAAAGGAUAGUCUCGAACUGAUCUCAUCGAUUAUGUUCUCCAGUAACUGCACAUUUGCCAAAAGAACAGAGGGCAAUGGUGGUCUAUUUGCUCGCCAACAUAAUCUUGUCAGGAUGCCGCGUCACCUGCCUCUCUUUCUGCAUGCUUCUUCCUCCGAGUCCCAUGAGAGAGUAAGCAGAACGUCCAGAGCUGCCGACUCGUUGAAGUAGAUAUUCUCGUCCACAUCGAGCCAGGUAACCAGACUGGAGGGAGAAGAUAAUACAUUUGCUAUAGAGGACAGACUGGAGGACCCACUUUUCAUCCACUUGACUCCAGAUGACCAAAUGAUGAUAGCCAGUUAAUCAAUGGAGCUGACCUUUGCAUACGGCCCCUUGCUGGGUGAUUAAAGCCAAGUCUCAACACAGAGGGAUUGUGAGGGAGGGAGGGAGCGUGGAGAAACAGCCAUCCAGAUGGGGAGGAGAAUAGGACGACCGCCCGCUGCUAUGUCAUUUCCAUCUCUUCCUGCCUACUUCUCCAAUACUUUUUAUUGAAGGACCUCAUACAGACUCAGAGGAUUCACAGGUAAUGGUUUAUUGUCUAUAGUCUUAAUCUUACAUUGCUGUUCUGUUCUAUUCGGAUGUGAUGUGUGAAAUUCUAUGAGAUACUACAAAAAACACAGAGAGAGAGUGUGAGAGAGUGAGAGAGAGAGAGAGAGAGAGAGAGGGCAGAAAGAAAGAAAUAGGUGAAAAGAGUGUUUAGCCUAUGUGAAUGUUUUACGUCAGGUUGGCGACGUAUCCAACUUUUCAGUCCUUUUGUUAAUGCCAGGACUUUUGUUAAUACAAGCAUAAACAACAUGGUAGAUAGGGGGGGGAUAGGCAGGGUUGCUUUCAGGCCGUACGGUGUGGUUUGUAUGUGUUCUGUGCUCUAUACUGUGAAGCAGGCAGGAUGGUUGUACGGUGUGGUUUGUAUGUGUUCUGUGCUCUAUACUGUGAAGCAGGCAGGAUGGUUGUAAUUCACACUUCAUUCCUGCUAAACCUAACCAUAAUCCCUGAGUGCCUUUCCCUGGCCCCGCUCCAAAACGCUCUUAACAAAAAUGUCUUUGGUGGAUGAAUACCAGGGAAGGAGUGUCAUGGAGGUGAAAGAUUUAUAAUGUGAACGGCACAAACUUCCUCGUAAAUCAAAGCAAAUGCUUUCAGGUAGCAGGUCUGGCAUUUAUGCAAGCCAAGCUGAGCAGGAGCAAGAGAGUGAGGAUGGGAGAGAGAGAGAUGCGGGAGAGAGAGAGAGAAAGAGAAUGAUGGUGGUCAGGGUGUGGUGUACGAAGGCCUGGAGGGGAUCACAGGAGUGAAGGGGAGAUAAAUAAAAAGAAAGAAGGAGAGGAAAAAGAAUGUGUACAAGGGUCAGGAUUAAAAGAGACUCCUGUAUAGUCACACUGUUUCUUCUCGCUAUUUAACGGUGCUGGAAUGUUGGAUAAGAUGGAACUCUUAUUGCUGAAUUGCUUGCCCUUCCUUCUUGGACUGCACUUUGUUUACCCUUUCUUAGUCAACGGAGCAGAUUCAUCUGAAACAACGUCUGAACGUGUCUCUCUCAGAGUCAAAGGUUUUUUGUUGGUAUUGAAAAAGCUUCUUUUUUUUUUUAAAGACAGAGAGCCACGUCGGGUGGCAGACACAGACACACUGCCACCCAUUAGCCUACAACAGCAGCUUGAGAAACAGGGCAGACAUUUUGGGUGUCUAUGCAGAAAUGAUGGAAAUAUGUUCAAACGUCUGUAGACGUCCCUAACCCCCACUCCACUCCAUACACUCACAGCUCCCUAAUUAUCCGCGUCUAUCUAACUGCUAACUGAAAGCCACAGGUGAUGUACAUAAUGGGUAAAGACCUGGGCUGCAUGCCAAUGGGCCCUGGUCAAAAGUACUGCACUAUACAGUGCAAGAGGCGUCACUGCAGUCCCUGGUUCGAAUCCAGGCUGCAUCACAUCCGGUCGUGAUUGGGAGUUCCAUAGGUUGGCCCAGCGUCGUCCGGGUUUGGCUGGGGUAGACCGUCAUUGUAAAUAAGAAUUUGUUCUUGACUGACUUGCCUAGUUAAAUAAAGGUUAAAUAAAAGUAAAAUACAAAAUAAAUAUAGGAACUAGAGAGCCAUUUGGAGUGCACAACUGGCGGCCACAGACAGACAUGGACAGCGUGUGUAAAUGUCCUUCUGACACUGUGUCUUGAGAGGUGAACUGAAGAACACGCCAUCCGUCCAAAUGACCAACCAGCUCUGCAGUCUAACCGGCUCUAGUCUGGGGUUAAACUUCAAUGUUUCAGGGUCUAUUCUUUCCUCCUGACUCUUUUAACAUGGACAGCUGGAUGGCUGUCAGGGUGCGCCCCAAAUGGCAUCCUAUAUCCGACAUAGGGCAGUACUUUUGACCAGGCCCCUGGUGCACUAUAUAGGUAAUAGGGUGCCAUUUGGGAUGCUCACUCUGUGAAUGAGAGCGGGGGACUCUGUCUCUUCACAGGUCUCACCCGAAGAGCGCCUUGAGAGUGCAGGUAAUUAAAGAGUACUGUGUGCAAAUGACAAACUCCCGUUAUGACACGCAGACAGGACUAGAAAGAGGUAUUUUUUUUCAUGAUGUUGAGAAGUAUCGCUAGCUAUGCUGGCUCCUUGUAGGUUUAUGUUGGAUAGGCUGGUUCUCUCUGGUCUGGUCUUAAGGGAGCAGCAGCGUGAUUAUCUGUGAUGAUUUAUUUGUAAAAAACGACAAACUGUGUUUCUUUUUGAGGCCUGUAAUUUACUGUCAUUCUUAUGUCAAGGUCUGGUGACUGACAUUAGCACAACAAAGGUCAAAGGGUAAUGAACAUCUCCCAACAGAUUGGUCACAUUCCAGGUCGACUACAUUUCAGACGUUGUAUCAUUGCAUCAACCAAUGGUUGUGCACCACCGCCUUCACCUGCACAGUCGGGAAUCAGAUUGGUAUAUCAUGGGAUGUUGUGUGAUCUGCCAUGCGUCUGCGAUGUAGUUAGCUUGGAACGUGACCGUUAUGUACUGAUUGAACAAGAUUGGAGACUUCUCUGGACCUGGUUUAUGUGGUGCGGCCCUAUGGGGCAUGAUGCUUCUAAUACCAUUGGUGUGGGUUUUAUUCCUGCAUGCUGUAUAUCCUGUGGUGGUCGGUGCCGUUUAAGAUGAGGGAGGACAAUUGUUUUUUAUGAACAUGGCCUUAUUUCUAUUACAGCAUAUUGGAUGACUGUCAUUCAUAUUCCAUUCACCCAGUUCAAUGUAACAUUGAUAGGUUUAGGCUACUACAUGAUACUUGAAUUGUCCCUAUACCCAUCAUGAGGUUACCACAACCUAGCCUAUGAACGAAAGAUUACAACGUAGGUGCAGACAGAUCGAGAGAAACGUUUGAGAUGAUAGACAGUGACACAUGGACAGACUGUGAAACAUUCAAUACCGGCUUGCACACUCUUGCCUGCAUCUAGCUGAUCUAGGGUGUAAUCAUUAGUCCAACAGUUGCAAACGAGAGUUUCUAUUGGACAAAUUCAGGUAUUUUUUCCCCAGGUAUUUUUAGGAUACGUUUUUCAACAGAAUAGGUGGAAUGAAUACACCCCUGAUCAUGCAUAAACAAAGUUCACUUUCAUAGCAGCCAUGUUGUAUUCCCUCUCACAUUUUCCAAUCGUUUGUGGACUUCAAUGAACAACACAUCAGCUGUAUGUGACCAGGCGAAAAAACCUUUCCAAGCUAAACCAUGUCAUAACCACUACACACAGCCUACAUCAUGGUCCCCAUAUUAGCUAAAGUAACAUCCUAGUCAACAUAGCUAAUAGAACUAAUACGUUAGUAAACCCUCUACAAUCAUGCAGUAACGUUACAGUGUUUAGUCAGUAAGCAGUAAGCAGUCCCCGGUGGCAAUAAAUGAAUUAAACCAAAAGCUUACCUUGAGUUGGAAGAGUUCCAGUUUUGUGUUGGAUAGUCAUAGCCAGAUAGCUAACAUAGAAUCCCUCUGUUUGAGUCGGGUGUUUGAGUAACUAAACUAGCCAACUGCAUUUGCUAGCUAAGUAAGUGAAACUGAAAAAAAAGACAAUUUCUCUCUCUCUCUCUCUCUCUCUUGCUUCUCCUUAAUUUUUCAAGAAAUGAAUUUGUUCUCUCUCUAGAGUCAACUACUCACCACAUUUUAUGCACCACAGUGCUAGCUAGCUGUAGCUUAUGCUUUCAGUACUAGAUUCAUUCUCUGAUCCUUUGAUUGGGUGGACAACAUGUCAGUUAAUUCUGAAAGAGCUCUGAUAGGUUGGAGGACAUCCUUCGGAAGUUGUCAUAAUUACUGUGUAAGUCUAUGGAAAGGGGUGAGAGCCAAAAGCCUCCUAUGUUAUGUAUUGAAGUCAAUUUAAAUGUAAUCUUUAUUUAACUAGGCAAGUCAGUUAAGAACAAAUUCUUAUUUACAAUGACGGCCUACCCCGUCAAACC